rnacentral:lncRNA from 1 species
GUUUGAUUUUUUUUAGGUUUUUUUUUUUUUAAAGAUUUUUGUUUGUUUGUUUUUAGAGAGAAAGAGAGAAAAUCCUCAAGCAGAGUCCCUGCUGAGCAUGGAGCCCAUUGUGGGGGUUCAAUCCCAGGGCCCUGAGAUUAUGACCUGAGCCAAAAUCAAAAGUUGAAUGCUUAACCGACGAAGCCACCUGUAUGUCUCUCUCUCUCUCUCUUUUUUUUUUUUUUCAGGUUUAAAUGAACUCCAAACACUAUCAGCUUCUGCCUUUCUCCUAACCUCAAAAAAAGGGUCGGCCAGUGGAGAAUUCCCAUGGAGCGCCCAAUCUCUCCUGCCCCGGACUUUUCUCGCCCCUGUGUGCCUUUCUCCUCCUGCUCUCCUGUCUCUUCUCCCCAUCUCCUCCUGGACCCCCAGCACAGUGACUGCCAAGAAUGCAAGUAAGUUCAGUUAUUUACUUUUUUAA